rnacentral:rRNA from 1 species
UACGUAGGGGGCGAGCGUUGUCCGGAAUCAUUGGGCGUAAAGAGCUCGUAGGCGGUUCAGUAAGUCAGGUGUGAAAGCUCCGAGCUCAACUCGGAGAGGCCACCUGAUACUGCUGUGACUAGAAUCCAGUAGGGGAGUGUGGAACUCCUGGUGUAGCGGUGAAAUGCGCAGAUAUCAGGAAGAACACCAGCGGCGAAGGCGGCUCACUGGCCCGGUACUGACGCUGAGGUGCGAAAGCGUGGGGAGCAAACAGG